rnacentral:rRNA from 1 species
UCAGAGGGAGGUAGAAUUNCACGUGUAGCAGUGAAAUGCGUAGAGAUGUGGAGGAAUACCGAUGGCGAAGGCAGCCUCCUGGGAUAACACUGACGUUCAUGCCCGAAAGCGUGGGUAGCAAACAGGAUUAGAUACCCUGGUAGUCCACGCCCUAAACGAUGUCGAUUAGCUGUUGGGCAGCAUGACUGCUUAGUAGCGAAGCUAACGCGUGAAAUCGACCGCCUGGGGAGUACGGUCGCAAGAUUAAAACUCAAAGGAAUUGACGGGGACCCGCACAAGCGGUGGAUGAUGUGGAUUAAUUCGAUGCAACGCGAAGAACCUUACCUGGUCUUGACAUGUACGGAACCCUCCAGAGACGGAGGGGUGCCUUCGGGAGCCGUAACACAGGUGCUGCAUGGCUGUCGUCAGCUCGUGUCGUGAGAUGUUGGGUUAAGUCCCGCAACGAGUGCAACCCUUGUCAUUAGUUGCCAUCAUUAAGUUGGGCACUCUAAUGAGACUGCCGGUGACAAGCCGGAGGAAGGUGGGGAUGACGUCAAGUCCUCAUGGCCCUUAUGACCAGGGCUUCACACGUCAUACAAUGGUCGGUACAGAGGGUAGCCAAGCCGCGAGGUGGAGCCAAUCUCACAAAACCGAUCGUAGUCCGGAUUGCACUCUGCAACUCGAGUGCAUGAAGUCGGAAUCGCUAGUAAUCGCAGGUCAGCAUACUGCGGUGAAUACGUUCCCGGGUCUUGUACACACCGCCC